rnacentral:rRNA from 1 species
CCUACGGGAGGCAGCAGUGGGGAAUAUUGGACAAUGGGCGAAAGCCUGAUCCAGCCAUGCCGCGUGUGUGAAGAAGGCCUUCGGGUUGUAAAGCACUUUCAGAGGGGAAGAAAGCCUUGGGGCUAAUACCCUCGAGGAAGGACAUCACCCACAGAAGAAGCACCGGCUAACUCCGUGCCAGCAGCCGCGGUAAUACGGAGGGUGCGAGCGUUAAUCGGAAUUACUGGGCGUAAAGCGCGCGUAGGCGGUCUGAUAAGCCGGUUGUGAAAGCCCCGGGCUCAACCUGGGAACGGCAUCCGGAACUGUCAGGCUAGAGUGCAGGAGAGGAAGGUAGAAUUCCCGGUGUAGCGGUGAAAUGCGUAGAGAUCGGGAGGAAUACCAGUGGCGAAGGCGGCCUUCUGGACUGACACUGACGCUGAGGUGCGAAAGCGUGGGUAGCAAACAGGAUUAGAUACCCCUGUAGUC